rnacentral:rRNA from 1 species
UACGGGGGGGGCAAGCGUUGUUCGGAAUUACUGGGCGUAAAGGGCUCGUAGGUGGCCAACUAAGUCAGACGUGAAAUCCCUCAGCUUAACUGGGGAACUGCGUCUGAUACUGGAUGGCUUGAGUUUGGGAGAGGGAUGCGGAAUUCCAGGUGUAGCGGUGAGAUGCGUAGAUAUCUGGAGGAACACCGGUGGCGAAGGCGGCAUCCUGGACCAACACUGACACUGAGGAGCGAAAGCCAGGGGAGCAAACGGG